rnacentral:rRNA from 1 species
GAUGAACGCUGGCGGCGUGCCUAAUACAUGCAAGUCGAGCGAACAGACGAGGAGCUUGCUCCUCUGACGUUAGCGGCGGACGGGUGAGUAACACGUGGAUAACCUACCUAUAAGACUGGGAUAACUUCGGGAAACCGGAGCUAAUACCGGAUAACAUGUUGAACCGCAUGGUUCAACAGUGAAAGACGGUCUUGCUGUCACUUAUAGAUGGAUCCGCGCCGCAUUAGCUAGUUGGUAAGGUAACGGCUUACCAAGGCAACGAUGCGUAGCCGACCUGAGAGGGUGAUCGGCCACACUGGAACUGAGACACGGUCCAGACUCCUACGGGAGGCAGCAGUAGGGAAUCUUCCGCAAAGGGCGAAAUCCUGACGGAGCAACGCCGCGUGAGUGAAGAAGGUCUUCGGAUCGUAAAACUCUGUUAUUAGGGAAGAACAAAUAUGUAAGUAACUAUGCACGUCUUGACGGUACCUAAUCAGAAAGCCACGGCUAACUACGUG